rnacentral:tRNA from 1 species
GGAGAGGUACCGAAGUGGUCAUAACGGCGCAGACUUGAAAUCUGUUGAGGGCGAAAGCCUCCGUGGGUUCGAAUCCCACCUUCUCCGCCA